rnacentral:rRNA from 1 species
GACGAACGCUGGCGGCGUGCUUAACACAUGCAAGUCGAACGAAAAGAGGGAAAGAUCUUGCUCUUUCCGGAAUUGAGUGGCAAACGGGUGAGUAACACGUAAACAACCUGCCUUCAGGAUGGGGACAACAGACGGAAACGACUGCUAAUACCGAAUAAGUUCCAAGGGCCGCAUGGCCCAUGGAAGAAAAGGUGGCCUCUACCUGUAAGCUAUCCCCUGCAGAUGGGUUUGCGUCUGAUUAGCCGGUUGGCGGGGUAACGGCCCACCAAGGCGACGAUCAGUAGCCGGUCUGAGAGGAUGAACGGCCAAACUGGAACUGAGACACGGGCCAGAAUCCUAAGGGAGGCAGCAGUGGGGAAUCUUCCGCAAUGGGCGAAAGCCUGAAGGAGCAAAGCCGCGGGAGUGAGGACGGCCUUCGGGUUGUAAAACUCUGUGAUCCGGGACGAAAAGGCAGAGUGCGAAGAACAAACUGCAUUGACGGUACCGGAAAAGAAAGCCACGGCUAACUACGUG